UUGCUGGAACGGAUGGUACCAAAUCCUGAGCAACAAGUGAUAUCAAAGCAAGUGAUAUCGCAACAAGUGGUAUCAAAGCAAAUAAUAUCACAACAAUUAGUAUCAGGUUGGGACGGCACCAGAGCACGUGUGUGGUGGUGGUGGUCACAGUCGAAGAUGAAGAAGAUAGGUGCAAUCAAGGUGGAGAUCAAUCGCGAAGGGUUGAUUGAUGCUCUGAGGUGCAAGAAGGAGCCAUCUACAUAGAGGA
rnacentral:lncRNA from 1 species